rnacentral:rRNA from 1 species
AGUGAACGCUGGCGGUAGGCCUAACACAUGCAAGUCGAACGGCAGCACAGUAAGAGCUUGCUCUUACGGGUGGCGAGUGGCGGACGGGUGAGGAAUACAUCGGAAUCUACUUUUUCGUGGGGGAUAACGUAGGGAAACUUACGCUAAUACCGCAUACGACCUACGGGUGAAAGCAGGGGAUCUUCGGACCUUGCGCGAUUGAAUGAGCCGAUGUCGGAUUAGCUAGUUGGCGGGGUAAAGGCCCACCAAGGCGACGAUCCGUAGCUGGUCUGAGAGGAUGAUUCGCCCACCUGGAACUGAGACAAGGUCCAGACUCCUACGGGAGGCAGCAGUGGGGAAUAUUGGACAAUGGGCGCAAGCCUGAUCCAGCCAUACCGCGUGGGUGAAGAAGGCCUUCGGGUUGUAAAGCCCUUUUGUUGGGAAAGAAAAGCAGCAGGUUAAUACCCCGCUGUUCUGACGGUACCCAAAGAAUAAGCACCGGCUAACUUCGUG